CACUACUCUAUAUUGUCAAUUCGUUACAACAUUCGUGUAAAUGGCAAAGCAAAAGAUUGUGGUGAAGGUGACCAUGAACUGCCCGAAGUAACGUAGUAAGGCUUUGAAGAUUGUAGUUAGUCUUUUUGGAGUCGAGUCCGUGUCUUUUGUUGGAUCAGAUAAAGACCGGAUAGAAGUGACUGGUGAAGAGAUGAACUCGAUUGACCUAACAAAGUUGCUAAGGGAAGGUGUUGGAUUCACCGAGCUGGUUAGUGUUGGUCCAGUGGAAGAGAAGGCCAAGGAAACGAAGCCAACAAUUGUCCCUUGGCAAAUGAAUCCGUACGGGUACUAUUUUAAUGGCUAUGGCAUGCCCCACUACUAUUAAUGGAGUAUA